rnacentral:lncRNA from 1 species
UAAAUCGAUAACAAGGUGAGCAUAGAGUUAACAAGAGUGAGCCUACCCACAAACGAUAAGAAUUUGCUUGCUCUUCCAUGUGGAUAAACGGGACUCCAUGCGUUGAAUGAGAGGCAAAGAAUCUCCUUUGGUGGGUCUUCUUCCACUCAAGGGCAACCCCAAGUGAUUGAAAAUUGUUGUAACCAAAGCACAAUUGAGCUAUCUCGCACAAUCCUCGACUGUAGAGCUUUUGUGAUGGUUAAUCGAGAGGCUAGAUGCCAGUUCAGAAGAGUACGGUAGAAGUUUAGGUAUAGCAAUAUAAUACUUCUUAGUCUGUGCGAAGAUGAUAGUAUCAUCAUUGAACUGUAGGAUCCAGAUGUCGCCACAGAUCCACAG